CCUACGGGUGGCAGCAGUAGGGAAUAUUGCUCAAUGGGGGAAACCCUGAAGCAGCAACGCCGCGUGGAGGAUGAAGGUUUUCGGAUUGUAAACUCCUUUUGUUAGAGAAGAUAAUGACGGUAUCUAACGAAUAAGCACCGGCUAACUCCGUGCCAGCAGCCGUGGUAAUACGGAGGGUGCAAGCGUUAUUCGGAAUCACUGGGCGUAAAGAGCGCGUAGGCGGGAUAGCAAGUCAGAUGUGAAAUCCUAUGGCUUAACCAUAGAACUGCAUUUGAAACUGUUAUUCUGGAGUAUGGGAGAGGUAGGUGGAAUGCUUGGUGUAGGGGUAAAAUCCGUAGAGAUCAAGAAGAAUACUCAUUGCGAAGGCGACCUACUAGAACAUAACUGACGCUGAUGCGCGAAAGCGUGGGGAGCGAACAGGAUUAGAUACCCGGGUAGUC
rnacentral:rRNA from 1 species